rfam:Halogranum salarium B-1 162.HSB1.1_9, whole genome shotgun sequence.
GGGCCGGUAGCUCAGUUCGGCAGAGCGUCUGGCUUUUAUCGUGACUACGCGAGCGGUUUUGCGCGUGGUUGCGGGAGACACCAGACGGUCGGGGGUUCAAGUCCCUCCCGGCCCG